rnacentral:lncRNA from 1 species
CUCCACCCUCCGCGGGCCUCGCGGACUGCUGCGCUGGGGGAGUGGGCGGUCGGGCGUGUUCCCGCCACGCGCCGCCACCGCGGCCCCUGGAGGUGGUUCACUUUGAGGCCUGGAUGCUGCUUCACGGCCCCCUCUGCCUCCCUAUUUUUCCUAAAGCAGGGGGUCCUUCCUUCCGCCUUCUCUAUUCUGUUUGGAUUUGGAAGAAGGGAUGUGGAGAGUUGAGGGGUCACUUGGAAAGCUGGCUGCUUCCUCUGCUCCCCACCACCACCAAAGAUGAAAUUCUCCCGCCCUCGGUUGGAAGCAAGGAAUUUGCAUCGACAGGGCUUUUGCUGCACGUUUCCUGUUUAUGUUGUGUAGAUGGGAAUUUUAGAAACAUGCCACCGAGCAGACGGGGGAGGGAGAGGCUUUUACGCAAUCCUCCAAGGAGCCUCGGGUUUCAAUGCCGGGUGGGCCGGGGGCGGUCGGCCUGGGCUUCCCCCGGAGCGCCCGGGAGAGCCAGAUUCCACCGAGGAACGCGGCAUCCCCGGGAUCCUCCCGAACUGGGCUGGCCUCUCCCUGGGGAGCCCCGCACGCCUCGGCUUGCUUCCCUCGCAGCGGUCCCAGGGCUCUCGCAGCCCGAGCAGGUGGACUUCCAACUUCCCUGCUCAAACAUGCACAAAAAUGAAUAGAUGGUCCCGUCCUUCCGUCUCGGGAUUAUCAAAGUCGCUUGCUUUUUUGUUGAACCUCCUAUUGACCAUUUCGAAUUUGGCUGGUGUGACAUUCAGAAAUUUAAAGAUGUUUCUUCCUUCACUUCCUUCCUUCCUUGUACUGUCCUUGCUCAACGUGAAUCUACAAUCACUGCCACUUGAAUGGAUGCAACUUAUGUUAAUAAAUUGCCAGGAUCAGAACUCCCACUGCAGCAUUUCCUUCUCCAUAGAACCACUGAACCAGAAAUGCAUUCUAGUGAUUUUUUUUUGUCGUUAACGAUGAUUAAUUAAACAAACUCGAGAUUUCACGAGAAAAAACAUAGAUGCCCAGAUUUAACAAACUCCUUAUCUUUUUUCGACUUAAACCCACGAAGCUUUGGGGAGCACUCUAGCCCCUGCUACUCACCCAUGCAAGCGGGGUGCGCGCUCGCGCACACACUCACUCACUCCAAGAUAGGGGCUUUCUAGGAAAAUACUUUGAGCUGCCAAUCCAAGAUUUUACUUAAAGAAUUGACUUGGUUCUCAAGUGACAGAUCUCUAAGUGCCAGAGCGGCAAAGUGCACCAGGCUGAUAAAGUGCAUGCCAAGACUCUCAGGUGGGAAUUCUUGUCACAGCCAAGAGGUUGCUGGCAUAGGCACCCGAGGCUGGCAGAGCCUAGCCUCUGAGUCUCCCUACACUCCUGGGCUUGCUUUCCUUUUUGAAGCUGCCUGCAGCUCAAAGAGGAGUUUGAACCAAGGGCACUUGCUU